rnacentral:rRNA from 1 species
GAUGAACGCUGGCGGCGUGCCUAAUACAUGCAAGUCGAGCGAACAGACGAGGAGCUUGCUCCUCUGACGUUAGCGGCGGAUGGGUGAGUAACACGUGGAUAACCUACCUAUAAGACUGGGAUAACUUCGGGAAACCGGAGCUAAUACCGGAUAAUAUAUUGAACCGCAUGGUUCAAUAGUGAAAGACGGUUUUGCUGUCACUUAUAGAUGGAUCCGCGCCGCAUUAGCUAGUUGGUAAGGUAACGGCUUACCAAGGCAACGAUGCGUAGCCGACCUGAGAGGGUGAUCGGCCACACCGGAACUGAAACACGGUCCAGACUCCUAAGGGAGGCAGCAGUAGGGAAUCUUCCGCAAUGGGCGAAAGCCUGACGGAGCAACGCCGCGUAAGUGAUGAAGGUCUUCGGAUCGUGAAACUCUGUUAUUAGGGAAGAACAAAUGUGUAAGUAACUAUGCACGUCUUGACGGUACCUAAUCAGAAAGCCACGGCUAACUACGUG